rnacentral:rRNA from 1 species
CCUACGUGAUGCAGCAGUGAGGAAUAUUGGUCAAUGGACGAGAGUCUGAACCAGCCAAGUAGCGUGAAGGAUGACUGCACUAUGGGUUGUAAACUUCUUUUAUAUGGGAAUAAAAUGUUCCACGUGUGGGAUUUUGUAUGUACCAUAUGAAUAAGGAUCGGCUAACUCCGUGCCAGCAGCCGCGUUAAUACGGAGGAUCCGAGCGUUGUCCGGAUUUAUUGGUUUAAAAGGAGCUUAGGUGGGUGUUUAAGUUAGUUGUGAAAGUUUGCGGGUCAACCGUAAAAUUGCAGUUGAAAAUGGCAGUGUUGAGUACAGUAGAGGUGGGCGGAAUUCGUGGUGUAGCGGUGAAAUGCUUAGAUAUCACGAAGAACUCCGAUUGCGAAGGCAGCUCACUGGACUGCAACUGACACUGAGGCUCGAAAGUGUGGGUAUCAAACAGGAUUAGAUACCCCUGUAGUC